ACCCUUGUGGAGGAGGACGCCGAAGGUGGGGCUAAUGACUGGGGUGAAGUCGUAACAAGGUAGCCGUACCGGAAGGUGCGGCUGGAUCACCUCCUAACAGGGAGACAACAAAAUGUUAAAUAUUAAUUUUGUCACCUUAGGUCGAUCGGUAUCUCACAUUCUUAAACAUAUUAAGAAUUUUAUUUCCUAAGUUUUUUCUAGGUCACACCCAAAUUUUCCUGGGCCAUUAGCUCAGGUGGUUAGAGCGCACCCCUGAUAAGGGUGAGGUCCCUGGUUCAAGUCCAGGAUGGCCCAUAUCUCUAUGUUGGGGGUAUAGCUCAGUUGGUAGAGCGCCUGCUUUGCAAGCAGGAUGUCAGCGGUUCGAGUCCGCUUACCUCCACUGAUCACCACCUCUUCCAUAAUUUAUAGAAGGGAAAAUUCUUGAGUCGUGAUCAAAUUCUGAACGAAUCUAGCUUCCUAAUAACUUUAUUAAGAUGCUGGACUCAUUGAAUUAAUUUCAUUGUUUUCAGAGAACCUUGACAACUGCAUAGAUUAUUUUUAAAGACAAUAAGCAUCUUUAAUGAUGCAGAUUUAUUAUUUGUGCGAAUGCAUUAAUAACAAUUCUAUUAAGCUGAUGCUUCAAUUUUGAAGUUAUUGGUCAAGCUACAAAGGGCUCACGGAGGAUACCUAGGCACAC
rnacentral:misc_RNA from 1 species